GACGAACGCUGGCGGCGUGCUUAACACAUGCAAGUCGAGCGGUAAGGCCCUUUGGGGUACACGAGCGGCGAACGGGUGAGUAACACGUGAGUAAUCUGCCUUUGGCUUGGGAAUAACUUCGGGAAAUUGGGGCUAAUGCCUGAUGUUUACUGUCUGCUGCAUGGUGGGUGGUGGAAAGAUUUUUUGGCCAGGGAUGAGCUCGCGGUCUAUCAGCUUGUUGGUGGGGUAAUGGCUACCAAGGCUUUGACGGGUAGCCGGCCUGAGAGGGUGUUCGGCCACACUGGGGACUGAGACACGGCCCAGACUCCUACGGGAGGCAGCAGUGGGGAAUAUUGCGCAAUGGGCGUAAGCCUGACGCAGCGACGCCG
rnacentral:rRNA from 1 species